GGCAUCAGAUAAUGAUUAAAGAUUUAUCGGUUAUGGAUGGGGAUGCGUCUGAUUAGCUUGUUGGCGAGGUAACGGCCCACCAAGGCAACGAUCAGUAGGGGUUCUGAGAGGAAGGUCCCCCACAUUGGAACUGAGACACGGUCCAAACUCCUACGGGAGGCAGCAGUGAGGAAUAUUGGUCAAUGGGCGGAAGUCUGAACCAGCCAAGUAGCGUGCAGGAUGACGGCCCUAUGGGUUGUAAACUGCUUUUGUAUGGGGAUAAAGUCAAUCACGUGUGAUUGUUUGCAGGUACCAUACGAAUAAGGACCGGCUAAUUCCGUGCCAGCAGCCGCGGUAAUACGGAAGGUUCGGGCGUUAUCCGGAUUUAUUGGGUUUAAAGGGAGCGUAGGCCGGAGAUUAAGUGUGUUGUGAAAUGUAGACGCUCAACGUCUGACUUGCAGCGCAUACUGGUUUCCUUGAGUACGCACAACGUAGGCGGAAUUCGUCGUGUAGCGGUGAAAUGCUUAGAUAUGACGAAGAACUCCGAUUGCGAAGGCAGCAGACGGGAGCGCAACUGACGCUGAAGCUCGAAGGUGCGGGUAUCGAACAGGAUUAGAUACCCUGGUAGUCCGCACAGUAAACGAUGGAUGCCCGCUGUUGG
rnacentral:rRNA from 1 species